UAUUCCUUCACUUUCCUUAAGCACGUGUUUUAGUCUGUUAGUGCUCUCAAGCUAAAUUAUCGGUGUAUAAGAAAUAUGUGGAAGAGAGGAUUAAGUUGAUACCACAAAUUCGAGGAAGUAAAAAAGUGAUCCACAGUUUCCAACUGGUCAAGAACUGUAAAAAGGAUAGGAGAUACAGCCAAAACCAAGAUGUCAACUACACUUCAGUAAAACUUUUUAAAAACUAAAUUGGCUAUACCAUUUUACCAAAAAAAGGAGGCAGACUGUUCUAGAUAAAAGUAUGUUUAUUAGACCUAACAAUCCCAUGUAAUGAGCGGUUCCUACAUUUUUGAGGCAAUUGGGAAAAAUUUA
rnacentral:lncRNA from 1 species